rnacentral:lncRNA from 1 species
UACACGUCUGAAUCCAAAGGCAAACACAGGGUGAACUGAUGUUUUCAGGGCAGUUAAGGACUAGUAACCUCACAUCUGCCCUUGGAUGGGUGUUUAUUUUCUCAGACUAAGUUCCGGCUUGACGUUCCAGCUGCUCGCCCUUCCACUGCGCAGGGAUGUGGAGAAGGCUGCCAUCAGCCACUAAUGGAGAAAGCAGCUGUGUCUAGAGUGGGGACAAGCCGUCCGCCCAUUCCCAGGCUUCUUUCUCUCUUUGCCGCAAACACACUCUGUACACAGUCCAUCCGCAACGGAGAGACCUGGAGCAAAGGAAAAAGAUAUUCCUAAAGUGGCACUUAGGAAGAUAAAAAAAAUAAUUUCAAAAAUUAAAAGAAAAGUAAGUAGGAUAAGUCAUUUGGAA